UAAAAAAUAUUGAAAUCAGUCGUACAAAAAAGUGUGAACAAAUGGAAAAGUAAGCCAAUUAUGAUAUAGAAUGCGCUAAAAAAUAUAAUUUAGAAUGACAAAUAUAAAUGUUCUUGAAGCUAGGAAAAUAUAUAAAAAUGUAUUUUAAAAUCAUUCACAAAGAAAUCGAUUGUAACAAGUUAUAAAUUCUAAAUUCUAUAUUGCAACAAUUUAUAACAAGGCUAAAAAGUAUCGGGGAAUUUGUCCCUAUCCCUUUAUUUUAAACACCUUAAUGAAAAAUAUCCCCGUCCUAUAAAACUUUUUCCAUCUACCCAUUUUUUUUCAUUAAUUCCAAUUUUAUCCUUACUCUGUAAACCACAUGCAAUUUCUUUCUCUCACUAAUCAGUAUCUCACCUACCACAUUCCGCAUCCAGAUAGAGCUUUUACAGCUUUAGUAGCGCACCUCUUCUUCUCUGCUGCUUGUCUUCUGGUGAUGUUCUUCCCCAACAUCCGUCUACAACCCCAUCUCUUCCAAUCAGCUCCCUCUGGCCGUAAUCAACAAUAUUUACCUUCUAGACUUCAUGGAUCCGUCUGGGUUUGCUCAGGAAAUCUCUUCCAAGGUCAGCAGAGUGGUGGUUUCGGAUCAUUACAAGACCGCAGUAGAUCGCAGUGAGAGUUCUUGUUCAGUUGGUGAGAAUGUGGAGAGGGUUAUUGACGUCCAGAGGAGUGGAGCUAUUGUUGUUUUUGAUUAUUUCAAGGAAAGAGCUGGUAGUGGUCUAAAAGAUUUGAAUUUUAUUUCGAUGAGGGUUUGAUCUUUGAAUCCAUCUUCGUUCAAGCGCGUAAUUUGUUUUUAUCGGUUUAUUGAUUUUUUAUUUUAUUUUAUUUUAUUUUUUAAAGCUGUAAAGCUACAAAAUUCUCUCUUUAUUUGGGUGUAUAAGGCUUUUGCAUUUGCUUUUUUUGAAUUUGGAGGAUGUAAUUAGUCAGGGAUUAAUUAGUCAAUGUAUCCUUCUCUCCCUCCAAACAUGGGUCAUUGUAGCAUUUUUAUAUAUGUUCUUGUACUUAUUUGCUCCAGCGUAUAGAGGUGUUGUGUUAGGUAGAAGUGAAUUGAUGACUGAAUUCUUAGUGUAUAGUCAUGUCAAGUUUGUACAUUUGUUUAUGUAAGAUUUCUCCUUCUAUGCGUAGGCUAUGAAAGCUGAUUCUGUAUUGGAGUUGAGGAGUGAACUUGGACAUAAAUUAGCCAACAAAAGCUGUAAUUUAAAGUUGAGGUGUUGAGGCUUUUAUGAAGUUUUCUUAUGAAGUUCUUAUGCCAUAGUCUGAUUUUUGCCACUGGAGCUACAGCUAGGUGGGUGUGUGUGUGUGUGUAUGUUUUUUUUUUUUUUUUUUUUUUGUUUUUUCCUUCUCUUUGAAAGAAAAAUGUAGAAACAGGCGUGUAAAAUGUUUGAGGUCUAGGCCUUUUUAUCUGAGCUUGAGAUAUCCUUUGAUUUACUGGGUUAGUGAAUGGGAAAGUUUUUUUGUUUAGUCUAUUAGUGUGGUCCCUCUCUUUCCCUGCGCUAUUAUUAUUAUUAUUUCUAUAGGCUAUGAAUAACAUUUACUUUUUAAGCGCUAACAGAACAGCACCUGCAAUGCAAAUACAAAAUGAAAAUAAAACAUAAAGAAAGAAAAAGAAAACCAAAACCAAAAGCCCGAUUUCGUCAUAUACCGACACAAAAGUAGUUAAACCUGAGACAACGCAAUUAUACUAGUUGAAAAAUGAUUUAUCCUGCAUCUUUCAUCCAAAGAAAUUCCAGUUGGAGUCUACACGUAAAGGACAGGGUUAGAAAACAAGUUUGAAAAUAAAAUGAAGCAUUUGUUAAAUGUCUUGCAUAAAUUGAUCUUAAUGGUAGUUCUGAAAAUAAAAUGAAACAUUUGUUGAACAUUUGUACUUAGACAAAUAACAGAAAUUAGUAGCAAAACAUUGUAAGUUUCAAGGGAAAUUCGGAUUUAUGUAGUACUGGCGUUGUUUUAAUUGACAAGUAUUCAGAGAUGCAGGGGUGCCUCUGCUUUUUCUAGGAAUGCAGUAUCAAAUAUAGGAGUUAGGGAACAAACUGUGCAAGCGAACAAAGCAAAUAUAAUAUAUAUAUAUAUAUAUAUAUAAUGAUAACCCACUUUCAAAGGAACACAACUAUGCAUCCCAAAAGGAUGUCUUGGGCUUAAACUGAUCAAGGAAUUGCACAGUGGCGGUUUAGCCGCCCACAAGGGGAGAGAUAAAACCAUUUCAUUGGUGGAAGAACGCUAUUACAUUGGCCCCAUUUGAAGUGUGAUGGUCUCUCAAUUUGUCCAGCGCUGUGGGAAUGUGCCUAUCUGCUAAGGGUCAUACCUUCCUCUUCCUAUGCCUUCAAGUACUUGGGAAGAUAUUUCUCUUGAUUUCAUUUUGGGAUUCCCUCAUACUCAAAUGAAAAUUUGAUUCAAUACUGGUAGUGGUUGAUCGUUUUUUUUAUAAAAUGGCCCACCUUUUUACCUUGCAAGAAGGCCAUGGACGCAUAUCUUAAUGUAGCAAACUUGUUUUUCAGAGAGACAGCCCGUUCUUCAUGGAGUUCCCAAAUCUCACUCUUGGCAACAUGCUCCAUAGCUUAGCGGGAGAUGCAAUGAAACAGUUUGAAUAUCAUCCUCCUGAUGCUGCUCUUACUUCAUCUUCCUCGCUCGUGGUCGAGGUCUCUCACUCACCGUGGGAGGGAAUGAUAUUGGAGAAUCAGAUCACGGACACAGAAGAAAUCUGAAAGCUGUUUAUAGAAGCUGACGUGGCGUUCAGCCUGGUAGGAUAUUAGAAGCUGACGUGUCAAAGUCAGGUUACACCCUGUGUGGCGGUAACUGGUGAGUAAGUCAGGAAGCUGUAUACCAAUCAAGCUUCGUCUAGGCUAGAGAGAGUCUGUCUUUUCUUUAUCUACAAUUUUGACAUUUGUAAUAGCUCGUAAAGCUUUCUUAACUUAUCAAUAGAAUUGCACCAAAGGAUUUUCUAGGAUUUCUUCCCUAAAAUUCUUCUUGGUGAUUCUCAAAAAUUAAUAAUAAUAAUAACAAUAAUGUCUUAUUUU